UCGCUUUGGCAGCAUAUACACUAAAUUUGGAAUGAUACAGAGAACAUUAGCAUGGCCCUUGUGCAAGGAUGACACACAAAUUCAUAAAGCAUUCCAUAUUUUU
ensembl:snRNA U6 U6 spliceosomal RNA